rnacentral:rRNA from 1 species
AUGAGCAGGAGCUCGAGCUUUGCGAAGGCCAGCAGCCUCACCGUCCUCCUCCUGCUGGCUCUCGCCCUCCAGCAGCUUGAGGCAGACAUGUCAAUGUCGUGCUCCGGCAUGCUCUCCGACCUGUCUCCGUGCCUCGGGUUCCUGCAGGGCGAGGAGGACUACCCCUCGGCCGACUGCUGCGACGGCGCGUCAAGCCUCGUGGCGGCCGCGGCCACCACGGCCGACCGGCAGGAGGCGUGCGAGUGCCUCAAGUCAGCCGCGGGAGAGGGCAGCGCCGAGGCGACUGCGGCGCGGGACUUGCCGGCCGACUGCGGCCUCUCCCUGCCGUUCACCAUCUCCCCCGACGUCGACUGUUCCCAG